rnacentral:rRNA from 1 species
CGUGUAGGCGGUUAGUUAAGUCUGGCGUGAAAGCUCUCGGCUAAACCGGGAGAGGUCGUUGGAUACUGGCUGACUAGAGGACGGUAGAGGCGUGUGGAAUUCCGGGUGUAGUGGUGAAAUGCGUAGAGAUCCGGAGGAACACCAGUGGCGAAGGCGACACGCUGGGCCGUACCUGACGCUAAAGCGCGACAGCAUGGGGAGCAAACG